rnacentral:rRNA from 1 species
GAUGAACGCUAGCUACAGGCUUAAUACCGCAUAAGCGCACAGGACCGCAUGGUCUGGUGUGAAAAACUCCCGGUGGUAUACGAUGGACCCGCGUCUGAUUAGCUAGUUGGUGAGGUAAACGGCCCACCAAGGCGACGAUCAGUAGCCGGCCUGAGAGGGUGAACGGCCACAUUGGGACUGAGACACGGACCAGACUCCUACGGGAGGCAGCAGUGAGGAAUAUUGGGCAAUGGGCGAAAGCCUGACCCAGCGACGCCGCGUGAAGGAAGACGGUCUUCGGAUUGUAAACUUCUUUUAUAAGGGACGAAGCAUGACGGUACCUUAUGAAUAAGCCACGGCUAACUACGUG